CAGUGGCACUGCCGGGUAGCUAUGUACGGACGGGAUAACCGCUGAAAGCAUCUAAGCGGGAAGCCCCCCUCAAGAUGAGGUCUCCCUGGACCCUUGAGGUCCCUGAAGGGCCGUUGAAGACUACAACGUUGAUAGGCUGGGUGUGGAAGUGCAGUAAUGUAUGAAGCUAACCAGUACUAAUUGCCCGUGAGGCUUGACCAUAUAACACCCAAGCAG
rnacentral:rRNA from 1 species